UACGGAGGGAGCUAGCGUUUUUUCGGAAUUACUGGGCGUAAAGAGCAUGUAGGCCGUUAGUUAAGUUGAGAGUGAAAUCCCAGGGCUCAACCCUGGAACUGCUUUCAAAACUGGCUAACUAGAGUGUGAUAGGGGAUAGUGGAAUUCCUAGUGUAGAGGUGAAAUUCUUAGAUAUUAGGAGGAACACCGGUGGCGAAGGCGGCCAUCUGGGACAACACUGACGCUGAGGCACGAAAGCGUGGGGAGCAAACAGG
rnacentral:rRNA from 1 species